AUCUCAAUGCAGUUCAGCUACAAAGAAUCGCUUUAGAGUCCACAAAUAAUCUUGAGAAUCUUUCCAUUCAUAUUCAGUUCAGCCAAAACAUCUUACCUUGACUUGUUACGAGAUGAGAAUACAGCGCCAACGAGCGGCGUGUUUCGAGGAACUUUCGUGCAUUGAAACGACGAAGCAUCGAUCCAUCCGCACGACGACGACAAACUUUGGAAACGGGAGGUGCCGCGUUGGCUCGUACACAGCCUCGCCUUCGCCCUUGGCAAUGUUUUUCCAAAGUCCAAGUCGCGAAAAGGAGAAAUGACCUGGGAGCGGAGCGGCAAGUAAGAAAAAGACAUUCAAUCAAUCAAGUCAAGAAACACUUUAUGCUCCCAGUCCCAGCUCCCCAGUCGUCAACCCCGAUCUUGACAUUUCGCAACUACUACGCGUAUAAUCCCGGAUUGGCUAGCACAAGCGUGCCCCUCACGCCCCGCCAAAAUAAAAAAAAACCCAAUGCCCAUCAAUUUGCUGUAUGUUUGUACUGUACGAGCGAGGGCAUUCCAGUCAUAAUCUUCAGUAUAAGUAACCGCGCCAACAGAAAACCGUACAUCAUAUCCCAGAAACACCAAUUCCACAGAAAAACUGCUUCAAGCGAGUGUCAAAAAAACAAAGAACUGCUGCAAGUGUGCUAGCAUGGGCUCCGACGACGGUCACGGCCCACACGCCAACAAGGCUGACGCGCCGCUCAUCCCGUGCGGCAGCGGCGGCGAGGACUUACCAGGCCAUCCAAAUUUUCCGAGCACGCCGAAGGGCGUGGCCAAGGCUGUACAGACGGAGGCGCCGUCGAGUUACGCCAUCGCUGGCAAGGU
rnacentral:lncRNA from 1 species